CCUGUUUAACAAAAACAWGUCUUUUUGAGUUAUUUUUAAAGUCUGACCUGCCCMCUGAAUUUUUUUAAAUGGCCGCAGUAUUCUAACUGUGCAAAGGUAGCAUAAUCAUUAGUYUUUUAAUUGAAGGCUGGUAUGAACGGUUGGACGAGGUAUAAGCUGUUUCAUAUAAAUUUAUAAUAGAAUUUUAUAUUUUAGUCAAAAAGCUAAAAUAUUAUUAAAAGACGAGAAGACCCUAUAAAUCUUUAUAUUUUUUUUUAUUUAAAUUUUUUGGGUUUAUUUUAUUUUUAUAAUAGAAAAUAUUUUGUUGGGGUGAUGUUAAAAUUUAAUGAACUUUUAAUUAUAUAAAAUCAUUAAUUUAUGAGUUAUUGAUCCAUUAGUAGUGAUUAUAAGAUUAAGUUACUUUAGGGAUAACAGCGUAAUUUUUUUGGAGAGUUCAUAUCGAUAAAAAAGUUUGCGACCUCGAUGUUGGAUUAAGAUAUAAUUUUAGGUGUAGCCGCUUAAAU
rnacentral:rRNA from 1 species